UACGUAGGGUGCGAGCGUUAAUCGGAAUUACUGGGCGUAAAGCGUGCGCAGGCGGUGAUGUAAGACAGAUGUGAAAUCCCCCGGGCUCAACCUGGGACCUGCAUUUGUGACUGCAUCGCUAGAGUACGGCAGAGGGGGAUGGAAUUCCGCGUGUAGCAGUGAAAUGCGUAGAUAUGCGGAGGAACACCGAUGGCGAAGGCAAUCCCCUGGGCCUGUACUGACGCUCAUGCACGAAAGCGUGGG
rnacentral:rRNA from 1 species